rnacentral:rRNA from 1 species
AGCAGCAGCCACGGGAAUACAGAGGGUGCGAGCGUUAAUCGGAUUUACUGGGCGUAAAGCGUGCGUAGGCGGCUUCUUAAGUCGGAUGUGAAAUCCCUGAGCUUAACUUAGGAAUUGCAUUCGAUACUGGGAAGCUAGAGUAUGGGAGAGGAUGGUAGAAUUCCAGGUGUAGCGGUGAAAUGCGUAGAGAUCUGGAGGAAUACCGAUGGCGAAGGCAGCCAUCUGGCCUAAUACUGACGCUGAGGUACGAAAGCAUGGGGAGCAAACAGGAUUAGAUACCCCGGUAGUCCCUGUCUCUUAUAC